ACAUGGUGCUACAUGCAGAGAAGAAGGAUAAAGUGUCAGAAAGGGAGAGAGAGUGAGAGGAGGUGCCAUGUUUCACGGAGUGUAAGGGAGGACUUCUCUGAAGCUAAACUUCAAAGUGAGAUCUGAAGACAGCAAGGAGACAUCUGGAUCCCAGGGUUCAAUCAAGAAAUUCAAGAAAAUGAAGUGAAUCCUGCAAAGGAGGCCAAGAACCAGCCCAUGAAGUUGAGAACCAAGAGAUGGUGGUCUUGGACAUCAAAAGAAGAGAGGCCACAGAGAAGAAGGAGUGAUCUGACCACUGCAUCGAAUGCUGCUGGGAGGUGGAGGAGGAUGAGCACUGAGAAGUGACUGCCAUGCAUCAGUUUGCAGCAUGAUAACCAUUGGUGGCUCUGACGGGAGUGGAGUGAUGGGGCAGAAACCUAACUGAAUGAGUUUAAGAAAUAAGACAUGGGUUCUUUCUGUGUUGCCCAGGCUGGCCUCAAACUCUUAGCCUCAAGUGAUCCUCUGCUUCAACCUCCCAAAUAGUUGGGACUACAUGGGCACACCACUGCAUCCACUCCUAUGAAGCCAUUUUGAUUCUAAACAUUUGUAAAAGAACUGAAGUUGCUUCACUGCCAGGAGCCCCUGAGGAGUGGAACCAGGCUUGCCAAUGGUCCAAACACGGCAGUGUAUACAGCUAAUUGCUGACCCAAUGAGUCUGCAUUACUGCAUCGGCAAAGUCCAACUGCAGUGGGCUCUCAGGGCAUCAGGUCUUCACCAAAGUAGGAGAAACCUUUGAAUUCCUCCUGGUUGAUCUGCUUUACAAUUGCUUCGUCCACAAGGGUGAGUACCGGCUCUUCCCGGGUAAAGUCUUGGUCAAAAUUAUUGACGUCUCUUUUGGUUUUCUGUGGGAAGAAAAGAGAAAGUGGUGAGUUGAGGCUGCUCUCCCUCCUGAGGGCCCCCCAUGGGGAGUGGGCACCGCACUGACCAGCCUGUCACCAAAGCAGGCCUCUAGCUACCAACAGACAGCAGACACGGGGCUGUCCCGAUGAGGUAACGAUGGAUGGCCCCAGGACCCGGAGGUGAGAGACGAGGAGAGGAAGAAUGAGUCAAGCAACUGCUGUAACCUACUGGCUCCAUUACAACAUUCCUCCCUGUGACCCAGGGAACAGAUCUGAAUCCCCUCUCAGAGGUCCUUCUUCCCCAUAACCCGGCCACAUCUGCUCCAGGUGACAUCCUCUCCACAAGCCUGCCUCGAUUUCCACUUACUCUCACCACGAACCCAAUUUUGUGCUCCAGUAUUUUUUCAAUUAUUAAACUCAGCACAUUGACUUGCAAUGACGUUUUUAUGCUUUUGUCUAGACCAAGAGCUUCUUAAAGGCAGAGACCUUGUCUUGUUCAACUUUGAGUUCCCAGCAGUUCCCCAGCAAUAAGUGUCUACUGAAUGAAAUAAGUAAACUCACCACUGACUCCCCAGCUCUGAAGGACCCAUACCUCUGGGUUGAAGUUCCCAAGGUACAACUGUGUGCCUUAUGGUUCUUGGGGGGUGGGGUGGAAGGGAGCAAUCAAUCAACCCACAAAUGAAUGCUGGUUUUUGGAGAAAAUCAGGAAGUAUAAGUAAUGCUCUCUGCCUUUAGGGGCUUAGAGUUGAGUUCAAGGGGUCAGUAGUCCUGUGUAGAACACAUCGCUUUAGUUAGAAAAAUUUCCAUGGAGAAGUUGGGAUUUGGGCUAAGACUUGAGGAAUGGGUGACAACUGUACUGGUAGAAAUGGGAGGGAGGCACCUUGGCAGGGAGAAGGAUGGAACAAAGGCAGGGAACAGGAAGACAAAAGAUGCAUACACAGGGCAGCGGGUUCACUAAGCUGCAGGGGCAGAGUGCGGCAUGGGGAUGGCGGGAGUUAGGGCUGGAGUCCAAUGGCAGAGGCCUUCAAUAGCAGGUCCCCUCUCCCCCACAGCACAGAGCACAAUGCCCAGAAGAUUAAAGGCAGGGACUCCAGCAAUACUUUUUUCAGACACUGAUUAACUGGUAUUACCCAGGAUUAGUGACUU
rnacentral:lncRNA from 1 species